UUCCCCAUCUCUCUUGAUAACUUUUGGUUGAAAGUUUAUUUUAUUGGAUAUUAGAAUGGCUACUCCUACUUGUUUCUUGGGACCAUUUGUUUGGAAAACUUUUUUUCUAGCAUUUUACUUUGAGGUAGUGUGUUUCCUAUAUGCAGCAAAAUGUUGGAUCUUGCUUCCAUAUCCAGUCCGUUAGCCUAUGUCUUUUAUUGGAGAAUUGAGUUCAUUGAUGUUGAGAGAUAUUAAAGACCAGUGUUGUUUUUGUUGUUGGAAGAGGUAUUAUGUGUGUGUUAUUCUCUUCAUCUGGGUUUGUUGUGAUAUCAUUAAUUUCUUGUAUUUUCUUCAGUGUAGAUACCCUCUUUGUGUUGGAGGUUUUCUUCUAGUAUCCUCAGUAGGUCUUGAUUAGUAGAAAUAUAUUAUUUAAAUUUGGUUUUGUAAUAAAAUAUAUUGAUUUCUCCAUUUAUGAUGAUUGAGAGUUUUACUGGUUAUAGUAGCUUGGGCUGGCAUUUGUGUUCUCUUAGGGUCUGCAUGACAUCUUCCCAGGAUCUUCUGGCUUUCAUAGUCUCUGGUGAGAAGUCUGGUGUAAUUCUUAUAGGUCUGCCUCUAUAUGUUACUUGGUCUUUUUUCCGUUAUUGCUUUUAGUAUUCUUUCUUUGUUUUGUGCAUUUAGUGUUUUGACUAUUAUAUGAUGGGAGGAAUUUCUUUUCUGUUUCUAUCUAUUUGGAGUUCUCUAGGCUUCUUGUAUGUUUAUGGCCACCUCUUCUUUAGGUUAGGGAAGUUUUCAUCUAUGAUUUUAUUGGAGAUGUUUUCUGGCCCUUUAAGCUGGGAAUCUUUGCUGUCUUUUAUUCCUAUUACUCUUAUGUUUUGUCUUUUAAUUUUGUCUUGAAUUUCCUGGAUGUUUUGGAUUAGGAGCUUUUUUCACUUUGUAUUUUCUUUGAGCAUUGUGUUAAUAUCUUCUAUGGUAUAUUCUACACCCGAGAUUCUUUCUUCUAUCUCUUAUAUUCUGUUGGUGAUAUCAUCUGUAGCUCCUGAUCUCAUUCCUAGGAUUUCCAUAUUCAGGGUUGCCUUCAUUUGUUAUUUCUUUAUUGUUUCUACUUCCAUUUUUAGGUCUUAGACUGCUUUGUUCAAUUCCUUAACCUCUUUGAUUGUGUUUUCCUGUAUUUAUUUUUUCCCCUUAUAUUUCUUUAAGGAACUUGCUUCCUCUUUAAGGGCUUCUACCUUUUUGCCCGUGUUUUCCUGAACUUCUUUAAGUGAAUUAUUUAUAUCCUCCUUAAAGGAUAUUCUCUAUUCUCUCUUGAGAUGAGAUUUUAGGUCAGUAUCAUCCUUUUCAGGUAUGUUAGGAUAUCCAGGGCUCACUGUGGUGGUUCUGAUGGUGCUAAAUUGCAUUGUUUUCUGUUGCUUUUGUUAUUGUGCAUGCCUCUCAUCAUCUGGUUAUCUCUGGUGUCAACUGGCCUAGGUGUCUCUGUCUGGAGCCUGCCUCCUUGGAGCCAAGUCAGCCUCUAAGGGUUAGAGCGGGCCUCCUGGAAGACAGACAGUGCUGUCUCUGGUUGGGGGAUGCACACCUGAGUCCCUGCUUAGAGCAGUCCUGCCUGCCAUGUUUCUGGCUAGGGCAGUUCUCCUAUGACUUGUGUCCCUGGUUAAGGCAGAUCUCCUGGGAUAAGGGCAGGCUGUGAGAUGUGAGGGAGGAGUGGGCAUGCCAAUUCACACUCCCCCACCCCUAGCAGAGGUUCAGACAGGAAGGAAAAUGGAGGUUUCACAGGGUGAGGGGUCCUGUGUCAGGUGGGGGUUGUAGCUGGUGCAGUUAUUUGGGCAGAGGUCUCACCUGUGUCCCUGGUUAUGGCAGAUCUCCUGGAAGACCUGCAGACUCUGGUGUGGUUAGAGAGGCAGAUAAGCCAAUCUGAUGAACCUUUGGAUGCUAUACUUCUUUCAAUGUACUUCUUGUCAUUUCUAGUUCCCAUGACACUUGGUAGAGCAGUCUUCAUUUCAUUGUGAACAGCACUUCUCUCACCAAUUGUCUUUGCCUCAUUAGAAACACCUGGAGCACUUUAGAAAGAAGGCUGCGUGUGUCCAUCCACUUGACAGGGGCUAGUUACAGUGCAAUCAUUUAAUUACUUGAUAUUUGUGGGUAAGUUGUUGAUUCCACAUGGUUCCACAUGUUUUAGUGAUGGGCAGGAAAGCUAACAUAAAGCCACUACACGUGAUCCCACCUGGAGGACUUGUUUGAGAUAGACCUGCUUCAUAGUUACCUGAGCACUAGAGGGAAAUGCAAUGAGAGAGACUGUUAAAACCACUAACAAGGGUUUUCUUUAAUUAGUUCAUCUCUCACCCCUCAUCAUAGAAGCUUCAUUUUUACAGCAGCCAAAACAGGAAACCAUGACUGAUCAAUGCACAGAGAUUUAGUGGCCAUCUAUUCCUCAUCUCAAAAAAGGACACAUACAAGACAACUUUCCCACUGAAGAUUCAGAAAGCAUUGUGGAAGAAAGGCAGAAAGAUUAUACGAGCCAGAGGACCAAGAGGACUAGUCUCAGUAGUGAGACAGUGAUUUCCACACAUGCAGGACUACUGUAUCUAUGUGGUUUCCUGUACAAGACCCAUGGGAGACCACAUCAAUUAAUAUUCAAUGAUAUUAACAACAAUAAUAAUAAUAAUAACAGAGGAAGGACUUGAAAGACCAUACCCUUAGUUUAAGAGUUAUAGGUAGUUGGUGGCUGUGUGUGUGUGUGUGUGUGUGUGUGUGUGUGUGUGUGUGUAAGUUUUCUUCAGAAAUAAGACUCCUGAUAAUCUGACCAUGUCCAUAUCCCAACUUGAUAUAUAUAUAUAUAUAUAUCUAUAUAUAUAUAUAUAUGAAUUUCUGAUUUUGGUGCAGGGAACAGGGGAAAAAUAAUUACAGGAUGUGGACAAUAUGAAAAUACAUAGUACUCAUACAUAAAAUUCUAAAACCAAAACAAUAAAAAUAACAAAACUCAGCUACAAAAAUAAUUGGGAUGGUGAAAUCUGUUCUCAGCAGAAGAGAGUUGGAAAAUGUCGAAGUCUUUCAUGUAGUUAAUGCACUUACUUGGUUCAACUGUGAUCUGUAGUACUUUACUAAUUCCCCAAACUUUCAGAUUUUUGACAUUGUAGACGUUUCUUCUCUAUGUACUUUCAAUCAGCUCCACAUGCUUAGCCUCUUGAAGUCAGAAGGAAUCAUGUGGCUCAAACAUGUUCCAUUUCCAGAUGGGAGUGUAAGAGAAUUACAGACGAUGGAGGAUCCUGACUCUUAAUUAGAUAUAUUUGCCAGUGAACGAAAGUGAGAGGCAGAUUUUCAGAAAGGUGUUACAACUUUCCAUCAUCUCUCAGUGAUUGACCACCCUCCUCCAGGUCAAUCAUCAUUCCUUUCAGUGACUGAUGCAAAAAGAAAAAUUCUAUGUUCCAAUAUAUGCUUAGUGUAGCUUUCUCUCAGAAGGAGGAAUGUGCUUGUUAUGGAAUUGUAUGUGUUUGUGUGCAUGUGUGUACGUAUUAUUAUACAGGAAUGGACCAAAAAUUUCAUGUCAGUGAGAAAUAUCUACUUGCUGAAAUUUCAGAAUUGUAGAUCAUGUUCCCAAAGCACAGGGAUGGACUCCACAGGUCAUUUUAGUGGAGAGCAAUGCUAAGUCACACAUUUAGAAAAAAAUGUCUAAUGGGGUAAUGGAGAGAGAAAUACAAUAGUUUCAAGUGGAAAAAAAAAGGAUUACUUUACUGUGAGCAGAAAAAAAAUGCUAGGGCUCCAAAUCAAAGACGUUAAUAAAAGCUUUCUCUGGAGGGGCCACAUCUGAGCUAUAUUUACCACCAGUAGCACUGGUGGAAAAGAAGGGUCCCAGUUCACACUCUGUAGAGCUAUUUAGUGAAAACAGACUAACUCCAGGGCCUCUCACAAGCCUAGUGGGCUGUGCCCUUUCAGAAGACUCUUACCUCUUCUUGAUCCAGAUUGUGAUUACCUUAACAAUUAUAGGUAUUUUUCAUGUGUAGUACCACCCAUGUUGAACUUGAAUACAAUGACUUAGGUUGGCCGAUGAAUUUAUUUACUCAUAUUUUGAGUUCUUGCUUCAUUAUGCAAACUUAUGCAAAAUAAAGCAAACCCAUAUUUUUUGAGCCAAGAAUACGGUUCUCUUUCUAAAAGGAGUUAAAAGAGCAGACAAAAAUGAAGUUGGAGAGAAGGAGCAUUAGGGAAACAUGAGAGUGACAUCUGUUGUCCUUCUGGGGCAGUCGCGCUGAGGACUCCAGAGACAUUGUGGGGUACUGGGUAAGGAAACGUAACCUGCAAGUUCAAAGCAUUGCUCUGGGCCUUCAUCAGUGCUUAAUAAGCGUGCCGAGUUGAGGAAUGAAGGGUUUCCUAUUGGCUGAGGAUCAAUGUCUCGAUGCUCUGAAUUCACUCUGAAGAGUAAAAGCAGGAAGAAAGAGAAUUAAUUAGCAAAUUUUCAUACGGAACUACUUCUUAGGGAACUUUAAAUGUCUGUCCCUGAGUCUGGGGAAAAAAGAGGCCAGAGAAGGAGUCCUCUCUUCUUUACUUCCUAUACCUUUUGUUCCGAGUACUACAUAUUUAUAAUUUUCAUCCAUAAACACUGGCCUUUGAGUCUUUGCCAUGUCAUUUUAAGGGAUGUAAAUUUCCGAUCGAAUCACGUUCUUCCUACAGUAUGCAAGCUAUACACAAUCUUGACUCAGAAAUAGCUCUCAGUUGUUGACCCUACUCCUCAGAGUAAUACCAGAGUCAGAGACAGCAUCACUUAUGACUUAUGUGUGUAGUGUAUGUGUCCAUACAGUAUAUGAGCAGGCAUAAUCGUUUAUAGUUUGGUCCUAAUUCCUGUCUGGUAUCUGCUUUCUGAUCUGACAAAUUGGAAGCAAACUCCUACGAUCACAGCCAAAGCUGCUUCUGUUGGUGUGCCUUCUCCACCAGGAUGGACUGUAGUCAUCCUGUGAGCCGGAAAAAGCCUGUCCUCUUUGAAGUUCUUAAGACAGACAUUUUAUCACAGCAACAAGAAAGGUAGCCAUAUAUAGAAUAAUUUGAAAUAUCCGUGGUUUUUGAAAUAUCCAUCUAAAGUAGGAUUUUUUUUUGAAAAAGCAAAAUGGAACACUUUAAAACAUUUUAAAACUUUUAACUGAAAUAUAAUUACAUCAUUUCUCACUUUUCUGCCUUCAGCAUUUCCCAUAUCUUUUCUUUCCUACUCAUCUCAUGAAAUGAAUAGCCAUUUUCAUUAUUGUUACAUAUAUAUAUAUAUGUAUAUAUAUGUGUAAAUAUAACAUUCUGAUUCCAUUUAGUGUUGCUUGUAUUUAUAUGAAUGACUAAAUGUAUAUAUGUUCAGGGUUGACUGUUUGGUACUGGAUAACCAAUUAGGGGUCUCACUCCUGAGAGAGGCUAGGUCUACUUUCCUAAGAAGUCCUUAGUUGCCAAUAGUUAUUCAUCUAGGGGUGGGGCCCCAUGAGCUUUCCCUGCUUCGUAUCAGCAUCUCGAUUGAUGUCAUCGUUGGAACCUUGCUUAAGCAGUCAUACUGCUGCAGUAUCAAAGAUGAAGUUUCCCUAUUGAUCUUUCAGUCAUCCAAGAAACAGAUGUCCUAUAUAUACUACUAUAUAGGUUAUAAGGAAGAGAGGAGAGAGAUCAAAACAAACAGGCAGGUGAACGGUAACAUGACCAGUUCUGGGAACCCAGAGCCCUUGGGAGUUAUAAACAAUUUGAUUAAACUUAUGACAAAUAUUUAAGUAUCUAAGAAGUACGGUGGUUUAUCAGUGAGAUAGAGGACAGAGAGUAGAAAACAUAUUCUUCCUUUGUUGUCUAAUACACACAUGCAUAGAUUUUUCUUUUCUUUUCUUUUCUUUUCUUUUCUUUUCUUUUCUUUUCUUUUCUUUUCUUUUCCUUUCCUUUCCUUUCUUCUCUUUUCUUUUCUUUUCGGAGCUGUGGACCAAACGCAGGGCCUUGCACUUGCUAGGCAAGUGCUCUACCACUGAGCUAAAUCCCCAACCCUAGAUUUUUCAAUGUUCAGGUACUAUCCUUUUCUGUUCAGAUUCGGGAACAAUUUCCUUAUACUCUUUAUAGUCAAACAUGUCUUCUCUGGAAAAGUUUCCUUGUAUGUUACUGCUGUCGUAUGUGUUGGAUUGUCUCUCAGAGCUUCACAUGGUAAAGGCUCAAUUAUAACCCUUGGUGCUGUUGAGAGGCAAUGGGGCCUAUAGGGUGUGCAACUUAAUGGAAGACGUUAGGGUCCUGUGCUUUGUUGAUGGCCUCCAUGGCCACAAAUGCAAGUUUUAUUUAAAAAAUGAAAAUAUUAGUAAGAAUAUUUUCGGGCCAUGUUCAUUUCGCUUCUGAGAAUUGUACUCUGUGAAUGUAACACACCCUAUGUUGCAACGAUGUCUUGUUUCAACUCCUUUAGAUUCUAAUCGUUUCACUCUUAGAAUGUGACAUCUUUCAAGGUCAACCCCAUUCCUACCUUCCAUAAGCUUCCAUUAGUGGGGAGAGACUACGAGUAAACACUGGUACAGUGAGGACAGGGUUGUCCUGUUGAGUUGCCUCACGUUGGACAGGGGGCUCCACUGGUGCCUCCUUCAUGAAUUUUCUCUCAUACUGGAGUGGGCUUUCUAACAAUGUAGCUGCCUUUGGGCCACUCGUGUUUCUGCAGGUAACAGCUCUCCCAUGUUCCUGUCAACAAGCCCAGUGCACUCCUUGGAUCACAAAUCUGGACUCGGAUGGGACAGCUCCUUUGCCUGUACCCUAGUGACCUGGGUCCUAUCUGAGGUCACAUCUUUCCAGGGAAAGUGGUGCCUGUGCGUGACAAAGAAGAGUGAGUCUAAUCAAGCUUGUCUUUUGCUAUGAGACGUGGUCUAGCAAGAAAGGGGAAAGAGAAGAGGAUAUUCGAGAGUAAAGGUCAUAUUGUAGAUGGGUAAUGAGGAGAGUACAGGAUGGGAUGAUAGACAGGAGCGGAAGGGCAGGGUCGCCAGCUGGAGGUCAUCACUGCCUUUCUUCUUGCAUCACCCACAUCAUCAAUAAUGGGCUUGUUGCCCUGUGGUCAUAGGCAACAUUCAGUCACUGCAUGGGCUCGGUCAGGCUGAUCACCACGUGUGGUAGUUCUGCAUAUUUUUGCCUUGUUUUUAUUUUUUUUAUCUGACUGUGUUUCUUGCCUUCUAACCUUUGUUUCCUCUGUGGUACGCUUUCCACAAUUACCACAGCACCCUGUAGUUGGUUCUUACUUACUUCAGUUAGCUUCCCUAAUUAAAAUGCAAGUCUUGUGAGAGCAGAGAUCAUGCAUUAUUUAUGCUUGUGUCUCUGGCGCAGGGCUUGGUCCACAGUAGACAAACAUUUCUGGCAUAAGUGAGUGCUUUGGGGGAUUUCAGAACAGAGAGCAGGUGAGAAGUCUUCUCCUCCAGGAUACAACAUUCCUGCUCCCACCUCUCAUUUCAAUAUUCAUGAGCCAGAUGCUCUUCUUUUUUGAGGGUAAAAGAAUCAUGGUGCUUUCAUAUAGUUUCCUCAUUUUCUUUUGGCUUCGUCUUGGUACCAGCCACCAUCAUUUAUAAACAGUAGCAAAUAAAGUAGGGAUUUGAGUAGGGUCCUGCCAGGCAUGGUGUUCAUAUCUGCACUCCUACCACUCAAGAGGCAAAGGUAGGCAGAUUUUGAGUUCAAGGCUAGCCUGGGUAUAUUCAUUUUCUUUUUUUUUUUUAUUGCUGAGAUUAAACAUCAUGACCAAGACAGUGUGCAGACGGGAGCGUCUACCUUGACUCACAGUUACAGAGGACUCACCAUGGAGGGCAAGCAUGGCAGCAAACAGCAGUAGGCAUGGUUGCAGGGGCAAGAAGGCCACAUCUUGAGCCACAAGCACAGAGCAGAGAGAGCAAGUAAAGUAGAAGGGACCAUUUAAUCCAAGGGCUUUUUCCCAGAUUUCCUCAGCCUAACACAAACCUCACUAAGAAAUGCCACCAAGUUGAAUCCAAGUGUACAAAUGCCUAAGUCCAUGGGGGGAGGGCGAUGUCUCAUUCCAACCACUCCAGUGGAAUACAUAGGGAGACACUGUCUAGGAAAAAGAGGAAUGUGACCUAAAUCCAUGAUUGUUCUCUCUAUAUUCAAAGAAGGGAGAAACUUGUCACUGACACCACCUUAACACUCUGUGGGCAGGCAGGUGAGUCACCGAGACCAUUAUACAAGACUGUCCCUGAGGUGAGAGCCCUUUCAGCUUUCCUAUUCAUCCCUCCCUGUUUCUUCUUCCCAGCGCAGAUGAUAUGUGAAUGGAUUACUCUACCCAUAUCGGCUCUUCCCUCGUCAAGUCGAGUCAACUCUGGCAAUAUGGAUUUCUCCCCUGAAGCAUGGUAGUUUGCAUAAUUUGUUUAUCAGUUGAAAAGCCUUUUGGAUGAAGGUUUCCUUCUGUUGAUUUCUACUCUCAUUUUGGAAAGACAAAAUGGAAAGCAUCCUGAGAGGUUCUCUCUGCCAGUUUUGAGUUUCUGAACACAAAGUGGUUGCCUGUAUAAUGUGACAGGGCACUCACCUAGAAGGUUGCAUAGCUAAGAGUUUAACAAGGGAUGGGUAUAUAGCUCCGUGGUGGCAUACUUGCAUAGCACACAGACAGCCUCGGUUUAGUUCUUUGUACAACACAGUGAAGAAGCAAACAAGCAACCUCACAGCCGGAUGUGGUGGUGAACGCCUGUAAUAGCAGGAGUUGGAAAACAGUGCAGGAGGAUUGUGAGUUUGAAGCCAGCCUGGGCUACACAGUGAAUUCAAGGGAAGUCUGGGUUACACACAGGCCUUGUCUCCAAAACAGAAUGGAGAAUAAAGGCCCACAGCAGAGGGCUUACUCAGUAUGCAAAAGACCCUAGGUUUGCUCCCUAGUACUGACCAGAACAAAACAAAACAAAGAAGACCCACAAACAAGUAAAAGCUUUAUUCAGAGUAGCUUUUAAAGGUACAAUAGUAAACAGAGUCAGAGAGAAUGCCAGUCAAAUUGUCAUAAAAUAAGGUUAUGCGUGGACUUGUUGUUAGAGUGUCUGCCUGGAAUGCAUAUGAUUGGUCCUGGAGUUAUAUGACAGCAACACACACACACACACACACACACACACACACACACACACACACACACACAGAGAGAGAGAGAGAGAGAGAGAGAGAGAGAGAGAGAGAGAGAGAGAGAGAUAUGAAACCAAACAAGAGAUGAAAAAGUCAUCUAAGUGUGUUUAUAAUGAGAAUGCAGGCCAAAGCUUAUUAAGAACUAAUUUGUUAGGUAACCUCUGUCUAGAGGGUUCUAAACCUAAGUGAAGUUCUGUCUAGACUCAGGGACUUCAGUGCCCAAUAAAUCAUAGAGUGGCCAAUUAAAUUUGGCCACACCAUAGAAUUUAUUGUCUUCUUCACUCUAGCAAAAUAAAGGCUUCGACUUCUAGUGAGUAUUGUCAUUUAAUGAUGAGUGAAGUUAGCCCAGCCGAAUAAAGAGCACGGAGGUUGGGAAUGCUACUUCAGAUCCGUCCUAAUCAACCUAAGAAUCACAGAGAGGAAUAGGACACUAAAAAUGGUUACUGUGACUUCAUCUCACCACAGGUAGAAUGGCUGGCAUUGAAAGGAGUGUAACAAAUGAUGGUAAGAAAAUUGGGAAAAGGGACCUCAUUCAGUGCUGGUAGAAAUGUAAACUUGUGAACCCCAUGUAAGCGAAUCCAGAGGCUCCCCAAAAGGCUAAAAAUGAAACCAGCACACGGUCCAUGGUGUGUACUGUUCCCAUGUUGGAACAGCACAGAGACACCAGCACAUCCAUGGUGUUGCUGUACUGCUCCGUCAGCUAAAUCAUAGAAGUAGCUUGGGUGUCUAUCAUGAGAAGAGUGGAGAGGCAGUGCAUGUGUACACAAUGGAGUUUUACUCAUCUGUAAAGAAUUGGAUCAUGUCACUUGCAGGAAAACAGACACCACCGGCUAUCAACACAUUAAGCAAAACAAAGCAGAUAAAGGGCAGACAAAUAUUGCAUGUAUAAAAUUGCAUAUGUAUAUAAAAAAUCCAAAGGUGGAAAGUGAGAAUGUCUGAGGUUAUGAAUGUAAAUAAUGAGAGUGGGGAGUUGGAUAAAGGGGACAUAGAGCUGAAGUAUAUGGUAAGCUUUAUGAACAUGUCUUUGUGAAACCUGUACACUGAAUACAUAUCUAUAAAAAAUUUAAAAAUAAAAAACCAGUAUGUGUUAGAAUAAACGUUUUCUCCCAUUGAAUGGAGACAUGGAUUUUAUUUUGCAAGGGUACAACAGAAAUUUCAUUAUUAAGGCAAACCAGAGGUGAUACCUUCUUAAAUUGCAGGGUCAAUUAAUCAAAAAUUAUUAAACCACUCUACUAUGUUAGCAAAAAACUCAGCCACUUGGGGGAAUGCUUAAAAUUCUGGAAAAUGUCAGUAAUAGGUUCUCUUCUAGGGUGUCAACAUUUAAGGGAGAACGUAUUAAAGAUCAUGAAAGUAAAUAAUAUUCUGAUAAAAGGAGAGGCUUUUAAAAUUAACAAAUACAGCGUCCUUAGGCAAAUCCAAGUUUCCCUUUUCAGGUAGGUAUACUGAAAGUUCUCUAGUAGGGAGCAGGCAUGAAAUUUCAACAAGGAAAGGGUUACAGAGUGUGAUGGCUGGCUUUGACGUGUACUCUGUUCUUUAGAAUCCACACGAGCAGUUUAUAAAUGCUACCACGGCACAUUAAAUGUUAUUAUACUGAUUAUUAUCACAUGCUUAAUUAUGCCUAAUGCGGAGCGCAGCUUCAUGCAACUGAUUAUAAUUGGAUGUGUUCGGCUGCAGUUGGAAUUUGUAAUGGUGCAGGGUUUAUAUUUUCACUGGCCGUGAGAAAGUAGAGGCUGAGGUAAUGAGUUUACAGCAAUAAUCAGGUCAGGGAUUUACUCUUAAGUACAUUGCUACAGUUAAGCAAGUUCACACACACACACACACACACACACACACAAUCAGACUAAAUAUAUACAUACUUUAAAAUUAUUAUGAGAAUGCUGUAAAACGCUUUUUGUGUUUUGACCAUAUUCGCUGGCCUUCAGCUCAUCCCUGAUCCAUAGUUCUAGUCCGUCCACCCAAAUUUAUAUCCUUUAUAAAAACUAACCCAUCAAGACCAAUUUUUCCCCUACUAAAUAUUCUUGGAUAUGUGGCCUUCCCCCAGGCAUGGUCAGCUGGUCGAGUCAGCUCACACUCUCAGAGAAAUGUAUCCUUACCUUUUCUAGUGCUAAUUGUAAAUAUUUGAACAGCUAGAGAUGGGGGAUUUAGUGCCCAACUCCCUUCUUGUGCCUGCUCUCACAACCACUGUGAGGUCUUACGAGCAGCUUCCCCACUGUGUCCAGAAGACACUGUUUCUUCCUCUAUUUCCCGUGGCUCUUGUAUUCCUUCUACCCUGUCUUCUAGCACGAUUCCGUGUUGUGGGGGAGAAUAUCCAUAUGUUCCCUAUACGCAACACAUUAAUGGUAUGUUCCAUAUAGAAUUUAGCAAUGCACGUUCUCUUACUUUCUAUGGCUAGCUGUGGAUCUCUGUGGCAAUCCUCAUCUAUUUUAGAUAGAAGCUUCUCCAAUGAGGGUUGAGAGAGAAUCUGUUUAUGGCUAUAGCAAUGUCCUUAGGAGUCCCUUUAAUGUCUGUUGAGCAGAUGGUAGGAUUUUUUCCCCCUAGGGUCUAUAUAACCUGUCUAGCCAUAGUUCUUGAUCCAAUAAUGGCUCCAGGUAUAGGUUUGUCUCAUGGAGUGGGGCCUAAGUGUAAUCAGAAAGUGCUGGUUGCCUGCAUCACAUUUGUGCCAUUACUGCCAUGUGGCCACGGCCCCCAGGGCAGCCAUUAUUGUAGCUCACAGUGAUCAGAGCUGGACAAGACUCAUGGUUCGUUUACUCCAUCAGUUUGUUUGCAGGACAAACAAGCAAACACAAUUUAGUUGCUGGGGCAAAUUGAUUUUAUUUUUGAUCCCUUUUGGUUAUUUUUAGUGUCUUGAAGGCCAAACAGACAUAACUAGAUGUAUGUGUUCAACAUUUCAGGGCCUAUUGAAAUCAUUGGUAAAUGAUUAGUUCAGCAUCUGUGCAAGCCAAAGUCUAGGCAUGUGCAGUAGCUGGAACAUCUACAGUUUCCUCGUAUAGCAAAAUAGAUGCUCUUCAAAGGAAGUCUGCUCAUAACUUACCCUUUAGUUCUUCAAAUGGUAAAAAAAUAAAGAACUGAUAAUUCUGGACAGAACGCUUUAUUUCUAGUGUGACAAAGUUUUUCAUCAUUGACCAUAACUUAAUCCCAAACUCAAUCAGCAUAUGAUUGAGAAGUCUUAAUUUUCUAUCAAGAUGCUGAUCAAAUGACUUUAGGUUUUUCCCAAGCUUGAAACUAAUCAAAAAGCGUUAAAAAUAGUUACAGGGAGAUGCUAGCUCUCAGGCCAAAGACGGUUACAAAAGACUGCUAGCUUUGUGGUAUCCUCAUGUCUUCUGGGCUAUCUGAAGACUGGUUCUGCAGCAACUCUACAAUGGGACAGAGUAAGAUGUGGGGGAGCUGAGAUGGAGGGCUUCUAGGAUGGCAGUUAGGUCUGGUAAACUGAGGGAGAGAAAGUAGGCCUACUGGGUCAGGGAGAGCUGGGGUCAUGGCACUGCACAUACACAGUUGAGAGGAGUGGAGACAAUGGAGAUCCCACUGUGUGGAGAGAACUGAAGAUUGCUAUUUAAGAGUGAACAUGAAGUUUUGUUUCAGAAGCUCAAGCAGAAAUGUAGAGAUGGAAUUAAUGAGACAUUCACAUUAUUUAAGUUAAACCCAAAAAUUAUCCCCUCCCCACAUCCACACCUACUGUGUGGCAAUUAGAUUACUUCCAUGGUAGUGAGCACCCGAGUAUCUCAAGCAUGAAAAUAGAAGCAGCUGUCCAAAAGCAUCCAGGAAUAAUAUGCAGAGGAAAGUCUUGAGUCCCAGGUGCAAAGCUCCCAUGACUGCCCGACUCCUUAGCUUCUUGGUUCUCCAGAUUCUUUAGGCAUUUCUGAAGCAGAGGGUAUUGGAUGCCCUCCCCGUUCAGCAGCACACACAAGCACCCCAAGGUUAAUGAAUGUAAAAAAAACCCAACAGCCUGAAUUCUGAACUACGCAAGGUCAAAACACAUACAAUGGAUGCUGGAAAUUUUUAGUAUUUAAAUUUCAAUUUUCUCAGAUGUGGAGAGAAUACAGAAGCUUGCUGGCAAAUAAUUGCACUUGCAAUGUAAUACUUAAUAGAAUUUAGUAGAAAUUGUAAACCAUGGGAAAAGAAGUGAAACUGAAAGAUGUCAGAACACACAUGAAUUUUAAUGAAAUAUUAUUAGCAUACGCAUAAAAUUUGAAUGUUAAAUAUGGCAAAUUGAUUGAGCCGAGACCAGCUUCCAAAGGCAGAAAACAUCACACACACACACACACACACACACACACACACACACUCUCUCUCUCUCUCUCUCUCUCUCUCCCUCUCUCUCUCUCUCUCUCUCUCUUUUUCAGUUGGCAUCUAUUAUGAGGUAGUAAUUCUGAGAAAAAGAGAGAGAGAGGCUGAGUUUGUAAUCGUUUGAAUGAAGAAAGUAAGCCCUCUGGGAAUCAAGGAGAGGGGUUGGGAAGGUUGGCUCCAACUUAGUGGGCAUGCAUGGAUUUUUGGCACUUCUGCUGAUAAGAAAGUCAAGCUGUUUCCUGUAACAAGCUGGGGUAGCCAGGGUGCGGGAGUGCAGAUGAAUCACCUACAAAGCAAAGGACACACAGAAAGCCAGAAGGCUGAGAACCAUCCAAUUCAAGGACAGGGACAUUAGUUCAGAGCUAGAAUGAUUGCUGGUACCCUAUCUCUUUUUCUUCUUGCUAUGACAGAAUGUAUGACAGGAGCAGUUUAAGGAAGAAAGGAUAUUUUUGGGGGGCUCUUGUUUUGAAGGGAUACUGUCAAUCGGGGCUGCGGCAAGCCAUGUGGCACAGUUGACUCUUAGUCAGUGACUGAGUGGGGUGUGACCCACGGUGAGUGUGACUCACUCCUUGGUUGGACCAGGAAGCUCAACUGGCUUUGUUUCUAUCCCUUUUAUUCAGUGAGGAUCCCCAGCACAUAGGAUGGGCCAUCUAUAUUCCUCCCCUGGUUAGUCUAUUCAGAAAUUGCUUCACACGUGCACACAUAAAGAUGCCUCAUUAAUUACCCGGUUACUUAUUAAUCCGACCAAGCAAGCACAGGGCCCUGAGCUCCAUCCCUGUACUACAAAAUAAUAAUAAUAACAAACAACAGAAACAAUUGUCAUAAUGAUAAUAAAAUAAUACAAGAGAAGGGAAUUAAAGUCCUUUAUCCCAAAGAAUGUUGAAGGGGAGGUCCCUGCUGAAAUAGCAUUAGGGAAAACUGGCGAAGCACCACUGGCCAUAGCCAAAUUAGAAGGACAUGUUGGCAGCUAGACUUCCUCAAAUCUAAGCUGCAUGACAUGACAUGGUCUUUCUGAACACCGACGACAGAAUUAUGGAAAACCUGUGAGUCUUCAGUCUCUUUAUCAUCUGCUGAGGGUCAGAGGCCCCAGAAGAAAGGAAGCAGGGGACCCUCGGUUAGUUGAUGGUCUGUUGUCAGCUUCUAUAUGGUGUGCCUGCUUGUCUGUGUGCAUAUGUGCAUGUAUGUGUGCAUUUAGUGAGUUUGUGUUGAGUGUAAACAUUAUUUGAGCAUUAUGUGUCGUGAUAAAAUAUUGUUUGGGGGUUUCUAUCCAACCUUAGAUCAUUUAGUUCCCAAAUAAGAGACACAAAGCCUUUAUAUUUAUAAUAAGCCUUAAAGCAUCAGAUCCGUGCAGAUAUCAUCCAUCUAUGCUAAUUUCUCUAUCUCCCUAUCGGUAACUCUGAGAUAUCACUUGCCAUGUUCUUCCUGGGCUGUUCCUACUCUAAGAAGCUGGCCCUCGUGACUAUGAGUUCAGGCUUCACCUGCACCAUCGAGUCUUCUUCCUUCCUCCUCUCUCCUCUUGUGGUCUCUGUCUCAGACCCCAAGCCUUUGAACCAAAUUUGUUGACCGAUCAGGAUAAGUUGGGGGAUAAGGUAACAUAGCAUCUCUUGGUGUAUUUGAGGAUCUUCUCAUCAGGGGCAAACAGGUCUUGGGGGCCAAUAUUUAGCAUUAUAAUAUGUAGCAACAGACCAAACCCCACAGCUAUGGCUGAUGAUAUGAAUUGUAGUCUGGCUUCUCCACCUAAUUCCUUAUCUCCUCUCCUCUCCUCCCCUUUCCUCCCCUCCUCUCUCUCCCCCUCCUCUCUCCCCCUCCUCUCUCCCCUCCUCUCUCCUCUCUUCCCUCCCCUCCCCUCUUGUCUUCUUGUCUCCUCGUCCCCUGCCCUCCUCUCUCCUCAUCUUUUCUCCUUUCCUUUCCUUUCUUGAGACAGGGUCUCACGUAUCAUGUGCUGGCCUCCAGCUCCACCUCAUUGUGGAAGAGAAUAUGGCCUUAUGCUCAAGCUCAUUAGUGCCCAAUGGGAUGUGACAAAGCGCUUGCAAUGUGUGGUCAGAGUUUCUUCCUGGUCAGGCUGACUGGUGAUGGCUGUUUCUCACCCUGAGGACUCAGGACUCUCUUCGGCAGCUGGGCCACAGGAAUGUCAUUUCUUACUGUGUCUGGUUUUGAUUUUCCUUGUACUGCUGGUGACGAACACUAGGCCCUAUGUAAGCAAGGCAAUGACCUGGAAAUGUAGGAUGAAAUCAACUGUUUCUUCCUUUGAAAAAAGAAAUGAUAGACAAACGCAAUGGCCAUGCACUCAUACAGCUAAUUAUGGCGAUGACCUACAUUCUCCUCUCACUGACAGAGCACACACUCACCUUGAAAGCUGCUGACUAGCUAGAAAGACUGGAGUGAGAGCAUGCUCUGCGAGUCACAGCCCCCAACUGUGAGCACUAAAGAAUUCCUGAAUGACCAGGCAAGUCUACAGACUCCAUGUAAGAUUUAAAAAAAAAAACUCCUAAAAACUAUUCUAUUCACAGUAAUAAAAAAUAUUCUCAGGGUGAGACAAAGCCUUCCUUCCAUAGAUGACAAAGAAAUGAGCAAAUGGCUUUAUUUGGAAGUGCAAAGCUUGAGUCUGUGUGUCAUGUUGGGCCCGUUAAUUAUGCUUGUAAUUUGUGUCAUCGAUGAGUCAUCAGCUCCAUGAGUUAUAAAUAUAUAGCAAUUCCAUUCUUCCUUAAGUAAUUGGUUAUGAGGGUAGGUGAACAGCAUCGUCAUUUUAGAAGUCAUGUGGCCAUUUUCUUUGACAUCCCAAGGGGAUAGUAGCUUUGAAGCACUACAUUUGUUCUUGAAGCCACUGUCCCAAUUUGGUGUUGAAAGUUGUCCCAAGUAUGUUGUUCACACGGAGUCAUUUUGCUUGUUUAUAUAGAGUGAUUUCUCUUCCUCAGGACAAUGCAGGAAAAUGGAUAUAGUGUAGAUGUUUGUUUAUGAGCCUCAGUGGUAAUAUUUCACUGAAAAAAUUAGACUGUUUUCUAUGCAAGGACCAGAAAUGUGGGCUAUUCCCUCAUUGGUUUUUUAUUUAUUUUGUUAUCUUAAAAAAAUCAAUCAUGUGUGCAUGCAUGUGCGUGUGGGUGUGCCUGUGCAUGUGUGUGUGUGUGUGUGUGUGUGUGUGUGUGUGUGUGUGUGUGGUUUAUAAAUCAGUUUCUCCUGUUACCCUGCGAGUCUUGGGAAUUAAGUUUGGGUUACCAGGCUUGGCAGCAAACACCUUUACUCCCUGAGCCAUCUUUCUGGUUCUUCUCACUCUUUUACUACAUUGAAAAUGAAUUCUUCAUACAAUAUAUUAGGGUCAAAGUUUCUCCUUCUCCACCUUCUCCAAACUCAUCCCACAUCUUCUCCCAUCCAACUCAUUGCUUUUUUUGCACCUUCUCUUUAGAAAAGAAAUAGAAAAACAAAACAAAAUAGAAUAAACAAAACACGCAGAAUUAAAAAAGAAAUCAAAGAUAAAGCCUCUCUCUCUCUCUCUCUCUCUCUCUCUCUCUCUCUCUCUCUCUCUCUCUCAUGAGUUUUUCCCUAUUUGGUUUUUCCCUAGGUCCAUGGCCUAGAUAGUCUCAGGUUCUUGGCAGGCUGAAUAGUGUCAGGGCUGGGUUCAUCUCAUGGGUGUGCGUAAAUCUAACAGAUAGAACUUGGUUACUCCUUCAAUGUUUGUGCCACUACCAUGCCAGUGUAUCAUGCAUGCAGACGGGUCCUCUCUCUUAUCACCCCUUAAUCCCCCCCUCCUCUCUCUCUGUCUCUCUCUCUCUCUCUCUCACACACACACACACACCUGUAGAGCUUAUAAAAACAUAAUAUUGAGAACCAUAACAUGCAAGCAAAGAAACAGUAGUGUAAAAAAUGCCCAACUAAAGCAGUAUGAGACAAUAAACCUCCAAAACUUCCACUGAAUCUGUUUUGUGUUGGCUGCUUACUGUUGGGCAUGGGGCCUACCCUUAAAUGUGGUUUAUAUUCCCAGUGAGACUGUGCUAGAGAAAGCUAGUUUUUCCUUCCCAAAUAGUUGCGAAUUGGAGAUUAAUUUCUUGGUCAGGAAUGGGAGCUUGAGUCCAGUUCUCCUCUUAAUGCUGCUUCCCCAUCUAGCUUGGGCCUGUGGAGGCCCCGUGCAUGCUGUCACAGGGCGUGCGAGUUUGUCUAUGUGCUAGCCCUGCUAUGUUUAGAGGGCCUUGUUUCCGUGGGGCCAUCCGUCUCCUCUCGCUCUUACAAUCUCUUUCCACCUCCUUUUUGAAUAGUUUCCCAAGCCCCAAGGGGAGAGGUUUGAUGGAGACAUCCCAUUUAAGGCUGGGUGUACAAGGUCUCUAACUCAUAAUGACUGGCUGUGGGUCUCUACCGUAGGAGAAAGCUUCUCUGUUGAUGGCUGAGCAAGGUACUCAUCCUCACGACAGAAAUAUGUCACUAGGAGCCAUUUUACUGCUAUGUUUUCUUAAAAGGACCAUAACAGUAUUUGGUUUUUCCCUAGGUCCGUGGCCUAGAUAGUCUCAGGUUCUUGGUAAUCUGAAUAGUGUCAGGGCUGGGUUCGUCUCAUGGGUGUGCGUAAAUCUAACCAGAUAGAACUUGAUUACUCCUACGACGUUUGUGUUACUACCAUGCCAGUGUAUCAUGCAUGCAGACGGGUCCUCUCUCUUAUCACCCCUUAAUCCUCACACUUAGUAGCUCAUCUUUCUUUUUCUUCCUUCUUUCCCUUUCCCUCUUCCUCAUCUUCCUCUCAGUCUUCUUUUUCUUCUUUUCAUUCCUCAUUCUACAGACCAGGAUGGCCUGGAACUUGUGGACAUCUCCUGCCUCAGACUCCUGAGUGCUGGGAUUCCAUCCUGUUUCCCGAUGUGGUUCUUACUACCUGCUUACAGCCCCAUUUUCUCCCAUCUGAUCCAUUCUCUAUGUGUGCCUUGUCUCUGAGUCUCCAGAACUUCCUGUCUCUCUGCCCUGAAGUCCCGCCCCUCUACUUCCUACUCCAGGUCUGCCUAACAGCUCUUUAUUAUACAAAAUCCAUAUUCCAGUCUGAACCAUUCAGUAGCAAGACAACAAUCUAUCUAUCUAUCUAUCUAUCUAUCUAUCUAUCUAUCUAUCUAUCUAUCUAUCUAUCUAUCUAUCAUCUGUUAGGGAUGUCUUUAGGCACCAAGAGCCACCUGACCUUCAUCUUCUGGGCAUUCCAGGAAGGAGAAGUAUUUACAUAUAGAAAACUGGUGAUGGACUGUAGACAUGCCAAUACCAAAAUACCGCCCUUACAGAAUUAAUAAUUGAAAAUACAGGGCACACCUUUAAACAAUGUAAGGGAAGUACAUCCCAGUAGUUGUACUUCUAAACCUUUAGGCAGCUGAUAGUGAAUAAAGAUUUGGGCAAAUCUCAGAUGUUCAUGAAAUGGGACCAGUGGAGAACAGUCUAGUACUGAGUUGAGGUGUGCUCACACAGAGUUGCACCUUCUGCAUGCUUACCUGUGCAAAGCCGCAGUUCUACCAUUAUUCACACAACCCUGACAGCCAAGUUCCCAGUUGGCCCAAUCACCAUCUACAUCUGCAUUUGGGGGUCUAGCAUUUUGGUGUGAUGUGUAAUCAUCAUGGCAACUCUAAUUUAGAAGAAAUGUUAGAAUCCAAUCAGCAAAUCACUUGAAAGAGUUUCUCAUCAGGCAGACCAGGAAAAAACACUGUGAUGUCCUUCUUUAUCAAAACAAAACACAAUCAAACUCAAGAUAAAUGUUCCAACUGAUGCAUUAGACACCAUACAUCAUACUUUAGCAUAUAGCUAUUGUCAUAAGUUUGUAUGCUGUAUCCUCAGAUUCACCAUAAAUAAGUCUUGGUUUUAUUUCAAGAUACUGGCUUUUUUCAAGGUAAGAAGGGCCUGUGAAAAUAGACUUUGAAAUGUAAUGGUGAUGUAAUGGUCAGUGACCCCUGGCAAAUAUAUAGCAGAGGGCUGCCUUGUCUGGUCUCAGUGGCAGAGGAUGCACCUAAUCCUGUCGAGAGACUUGAUG